AUUGAACGCUGGCGGCAGGCCUAACACAUGCAAGUCGAGCGGAGCACCAGACGGGGGAGGAAUGCCUAGGAAUGGGACUGGUCGUGGGGGAUAACGUCCGCAAACGGGCGCUAUAGCCGCUUACUCUCGGAAGAGCAUAGGGCGGAUUAGCUUGUUGGUGGGGUAAAGGCCCACCAAGGCGACGGUCCGUAACUGGUCUGAGAGGGUGAUCAGCCACACUGGAACUGAGACACGGUCCAGACUCCUACGGGAGGCAGCAGUGGGGAAUAUUGGACAAUGGGCGAAAGCCUGAUGCAGCCAUGCCGCGUGUGUGAAGAAGGCCUUCGGAUUGUAAAGCACUUUAAGUUGGGAGGCGUUACCAACAGAAUAAGCACCGGCUAACGUCGUGCCAGCAGCCGCGGUAAUAC
rnacentral:rRNA from 1 species